GGAGUUUGGACCGUGUCUCAGUUCCAAUGUGGCCGAUCACCCUCUCAGGUCGGCUACUGAUCGUAGACUUGGUGGGCCGUUACCUCACCAACUAUCUAAUCAGACGCAGGCCCAUCCUUAGCCGAUAAAUCUUUGGCGAAUUCAACAUGUGAUAAAUUCGCAUUAUGGGGUUUUAAUCAUCGUUUCCAAUGGCUAUCCCCCUGCUAAGGGCAGGUUGCCUACGCGUUACUCACCCGUCCGCCGCUUUCCAUCUAAAAGUUUCUACCGAAGUUUCAACACAUAGAUUUCUCGCUCGACUUGCAUGUGUUAGGCACGCCGCCAGCGUUCAUCCUGAGCCAGGAUCAAACUCA
rnacentral:rRNA from 1 species